rnacentral:rRNA from 1 species
UGCAGUCGAACGAGAAAGUGGAGCAUCCAUGAGUCAAGGGGGACGGGUGAGUCACACGUCGACUCACUCACCUUCGAGUCGGGGGAUCAACCUCGGGAAACCGGGGCUCAAAUACCGAUCAAUAUCUUCGGGAUGAGAAGCCGAAGAUCAAAGGGAGCAAUUCGUGGAAGAGGGAGUCGCGGUUCGAUUUCAGCUCAGUUGGGGGGUCAAUGGCCCACCAAGGUUUUGAUCGGUAGCCGGCCUCGAGAGGGCGCACGGCAACUGGAACUGAAACCCGGUCCAGAAUCCUAAGGGAGGCACAGUGGGGAAUUUUGCGCAAUGGGGGAAACCCUGACGCAGCAACGCCGCGUGGAGGAUCGAAGUCCCUUGGGACGUCAAACUCCUUUCGACCGGACGAUAAUCGACGGUACGGGUCGGAAGAAGCCCCGGUCAACUUCGUCGCCAGCAGCCGCGGUCAAUCACGAGGGGGGCAAGCGUCUG